ACCGAUCACCGCGAUCAUACUUUGGAGUCUUGUCUAGGGUUGGCGCUCGCCAUCGAUCUCGUGGGAUUUCUAUGAAAAUGCGGGCUCUAUGCGAUCCCGGGGAUGGCUGCAUUGGAUUCCUGGUGUGGAUUUGGAAUUCGUCGGGGGAUUGGAUGAUCCACGGCGGCAAAGGUAAUCACAAAAGCAUCGAUGUGAGUAUCUUCGAUGAUCUGUGGCAGGGAAGAGGAUUUCUGCGGUGAAACCUUGUAACACUUCCAUCUGGUGGGAUAUUGACGACUGUUGCCCUCAUCCCGAUGUGAAUCCGAUGGAUAUUUCACGAAGAAUUAACGAGUUCUUGCGAGAGAAUGGAAUUUCAGGCCUCGGCCUCAUCCCGAUGUGAAUCCGAUGGAUAUUUCACGAAGAAUUAACGAGUUCUUGCGAGAGAAUGGAAUUUCAGGCCUCGGCCUCAUCCCGAUGUGAAUCCGAUGGAUAUUUCACGGAGUUCUUGCGAGAGAAUGGAGCACCAGUGGAUUGAUUUCCAUCUGGUGGGAUAUUGUCCUCCCGAU
rnacentral:lncRNA from 1 species